rnacentral:rRNA from 1 species
UACGAAGGGGGCUAGCGUUGUUCGGAAUCACUGGGCGUAAGCGCGUGUAGGCGGCUUGGCAAGUCCUGUGUGAAAGCCCUGGGCUCAACCCAGGAAGUGCGCAGGAUACUGCCGAGCUGGAGUAGCGGAGAGGAUGGCGGAAUACCCGGUGUAGAGGUGAAAUUCGUAGAUAUCGGGUGGAACACCUGUGGCGAAGGCGGCCAUCUGGACGUUCACUGACGCUGAGACGCGAAAGCGUGGGUAGCAAACAGG